GGGUCGAUGCCCGAGCGAUUAAUGGGACGAACUGUAAAUUUGUUGGCAAUAUGUUUACACUGAUUCAAAUCUAGCUCGGCCCA
rfam:Cajanus cajan CcLG02_438, whole genome shotgun sequence.